UACCGGCUCGAGAUUUUAUAUAUAUAUAUAAAACAUCUUGUUUGAAACAAAUUUCAAUAUUUUACAGUCUUUCAGUAGACAUUAUAUGCACUGCACUUUAUGAAAUCUAAAGGGUAUUGAUAAAUCUUUCCAAUAUCUUGGUAACAAACCACACAAUGUUUCCCAAAUACUUGUGCUAUCUACAUGAUCUGUUUGCUCUGAUAACCACUAAUCACAAAAAUUGACUCGAUGGAAUAAUUAUGAAAAGUAUCUAACACCCUGCAUGGAUUUGAAUCAUGUUUAAUAUCCUAUCCUAGAAACAGUCUACAGAUCUUAAGAAUUAAAAAAAAAAUAAAUCUCUCCUCUGAUUUUUAAAAGAUAUCUUUUUAUGAUAAUAUCUGUAACAUUGACAAGUACAUGUUUUAAGGCCAGUAUCAUCUCCUUUUGUGAGUAUUUUUAUGUUCUCUCUUUGUUUUUCUAAGAAAGAUAAUAAAAUCCACACUCUUUUUUCUUUUUUGAACUGUACCAACAGAAAAUGAGUGCAGUGAACCUAACGUUCAAUGCUACAGUCAGGAUGCAGUCGCUCCUUCCCACUCCACUCCGUCUCUCCAUUGAGCAACACCCAAUGGGCCAAAACUGCAUUUUCGCCACAUACCGAAAUAACUAGUGAUGGAGUUUUUCAGGUGAUUGAGCUGUAACUACUGAUCUGCUAAGUUAUUCAAGAUUUCUGUGUUAAGUUCUACAAACUGAUAAUCUUCUUUGCCUUCAUCAUCUUUUACAAUUUCUGAGUUCUGAGUCUGGAGUGCUCUUCGUGGAAGGCAACCUCUGAUUCUCUGCAAAUGUGGUAUUGCAGCAGGCCACGAUCUUUCUGUGCAAGUUCUUUUUCAAGAGUCAGCUAAUUCAUCACGCCUGAAAAUGCUAGAUGAAAUAGUUUCUUUUGCACUGGAAGCACCCGUGAGGUCCACAUCUGAGGUAUUGGAUGAAUGAAGCAUGGAUUUCUUUAUGAGGCUAUUACUUAACAUUUUCUCUUUAUUGUAACCAAAGCUCUGUCUCAAGGUUAAAAAACUUUCAAGAAUAGAGAUCAGCGGUAUGUCAGCAGUUUAUCACCUUAGCCCAUUUCUGCCUAUGUCUACUGUAACCUUGGAUAUUCACCAGGCCUUCUGGAAGAGAAAGAAACUCUAACUUCUUUAUGCUUCACUGUGGAACUCCCUGCUUUUAUUUUUUCCUUCCUAUGAAAUGGGAAGUAAUAA
rnacentral:lncRNA from 1 species